rnacentral:rRNA from 1 species
UACAGAGACUGCAAGCGUUAUUCGGAUUCACUGGGCGUAAAGGGUGCGCAGGCGGCCGUGUGUGUCAGGUGUGAAAGCCCGGGGCUUAACCCCGGAAUUGCGCCUGAAACUACAUGGCUAGAGCAUUGGAGAGGGUAGCGGAAUUCAUGGUGUAGCAGUGAAAUGCGUAGAUAUCAUGAGGAAUACCAGAGGCGAAGGCGGCUACCUGGACAAUUGCUGACGCUCAGGCACGAAAGCGUGGGGAGCAAAAGGG